UACGGAGGGUGCAAGCGUUAUCCGGAUUCACUGGGUUUAAAGGGUGCGUAGGUGGGCAGGUAAGUCAGUGGUGAAAUCUCCGAGCUUAACUCGGAAACUGCCAUUGAUACUAUUUGUCUUGAAUAUCCUGGAGGUGAGCGGAAUAUGUCAUGUAGCGGUGAAAUGCUUAGAUAUGACAUAGAACACCAAUUGCGAAGGCAGCUCACUACGGGAUAAUUGACGCUGAGGCACGAAAGCGUGGGGAUCAAACAGG
rnacentral:rRNA from 2 species